UACGGAGGAUGCGAGCGUUAUCCGGAUUUAUUGGGUUUAAAGGGUGCGUAGGCGGUCCGGAAAGUCAGCGGUAAAAGCCCGGGGCUCAACCCCGGCCCGCCGUUGAAACUGGCUGGCUUGAGUUGGGGAAAGGCAGGCGGAAUGCGUGGUGUAGCGGUGAAAUGCAUAGAUAUCACGCAGAACUCCGAUUGCGAAGGCAGCAUACCGGCGCCCAACUGACGCUGAAGCACGAAAGCGUGGGGAUCGAACAGG
rnacentral:rRNA from 1 species